rnacentral:lncRNA from 1 species
UUUUUUGGUUAAUGUCAAUCACUUGUGUCAUUUCUAGAUAACGAUUUCACAAAGGUUAACUAACCAACAAUUUAGCACUCAUUAUUGUUAUUGCCUAAAACGACAAUUUAGAAAAAAAAAAUUCAUGGAAAUUAACUGUACGAAAACACUAAGAAAAUAAUGUCGAAUUAUACUAAAACUAUAUAAUUACGUAGAUUGAUGAGAAAGAGGAAAAUCAUGUUCUAGAAAGCCCGAUUUGCUCGGGGCCCAACAACCAAAAUAAAGACCAAAUAAAUAAACAAAAAUCCAAUAGUUCAUCAUCAAAGUCGAAAUUACAAACCCAAAAUUAGUACUAACCCUAGUCUAAGAUUAUACGGCCUAACAGGCCAAAAAAAAUUAAAACAACAGAAACCCUAGGGUUCUCUCCUUUGCGCCGCAGCCAAGCCCCAGCCUUCAGCACCGUACGACCGCCACGCGCGCCUCCAUACGCCUCACGCCAAGUGCCAGCACAUGCCCCGUACCCAAUACCUGCAAACGAACAAGAGAACAACGGCAAAAAAGCAAGAAAAAUAUUGUAUUUUUAUUUUUUCUUUUAUAUAUCGGCUAUAAAGCCACAAAAGAAUGUAUUGAUCUUUUUUUUACACAGAGAAUAGAGAAAAAAAAGCAAUCAAAAUAGCAGAGGUGAUUUCUUUAUUCUCCGAAUUGCUUUAACUUUUUGUGAACCGUUUCGUUUUCUCUUUGAGUCAUUUGUUAUUGUUUUUGUUAAGAAAUAAAAAGUGAAAAGGAGAGGGCUUACCUUCGCAUACAAGCCAUCGGAGUCCUCAUCUCCUUCGUUGAAAUCGAAGUUGGAGAUAGGAUUUUAGGGCUAAAAUCGACGGCCUUGAGGCUUGGUUCUAAACGGAAGACAAUAGGACGCUAUUGCGCGCCAUCAUCCACUGAUAUGGUGGUGGAAUGGUGGGUGAACGACGGACCGAAUGAGAGUGGGGGGGAGAUCUUAAGUCUGUUUUGUUUUCUUUUCAAAUGGCUAAGUAUCAGCUUAGGGUUUCUUUAAAUUUUGGUUUUUAUAAAACAUAGGAAACGGUGUCGUUUUAGGCCAAUUCCUAUGGCUUCAAAACGGCACCAUUUAAGAACCGUGACCCGACCUUAAUGCGUCCGGAUCGGCGCGUCUUGGGCCUAUGAGGGUUAUUUGCGCUAUUAAUCCUUCCUCUUCGCACGGGUGUUCAAUUGCCCUCUGUUUGUUUUUUUUUUUGGUUUUUAAACUUGGUACUGUAAUUUGCGCGUGUUUGCAAUUUGGCCCUCGUUUUAAGACUGCGUUUUGGGAGCUGGUAUAUUUCCAGUCUAGGUCCCUCUGCAUUCGCGCGCAUUGCAUGUUGGCCCCUUUUUAUCAUUAUCAUUUUAUUUUCAAA